AGCUGCCAGCCUAUACCACAGUCAUAGCAACACAGGAUCUGAGCCAUGUCUGUGACCUACACCACAGCUCACCACAAUGCAGGAUCCCUUAAGCCACUGAGUGAGGCCAGGGAUUGAACUCAUGAAUAUUAGUUGGGUUUGUUACCACUAAGUCACAAUGGGAACUCCUACUUUGCCUUCUUUAUUCCAGCCUUAACACUGGUUUCCCUCAUAAUCAAAAAAUGAUGGCCUAUUUGCAAAUAUCCAACAGCAGAAAAGUGAUGGCAUCUCCCCUUAUGUCUAUUCUUAUCAGUCUCCCUGGAAAACCUUUCUCUUAAGCUCACUAUCAGACUUCCCUUCUCUUAUUAGUCAGAACUGUAACCACCUGUCCUUCCCAAACCAUUGUCCUUCACUGGGAUGGAAAAUGAUUGGCUUAGGCCAAUGAGGAUUUAUCUCUUUGGUGCAUGAGCUGAGAAGAGUAUUUCCUGAGGGACAUGGCCUUAGAGAGAUGGGUGGACACCAUGGCAAUAUUGGCAUUUUAUUAGGAAGGAUAAAGGAGUAAGUAGCUCUAGGGCAGGCAGCCAAUAAGGUGUCCUAGAUGUUCAUAUGAGCCUCCUGGUGGAGAAUGACUGGAGGAAAUGGAGGAGGAAAAAGGGGGAGGAAAAGACAACAAGGACCUAGGGGAGCAUGAGGAUGUAAUUCUCUCCCCUUGAGUAGGGCCAAGACCUAUGACUGUGAUGGGAUAGUAACUUUCUUGGUUAUAUUACAUUAUAUGAGAAAAACUCCAACCCUGAAGGCUGGAGUGAGAUUGGCUUUGAAGAAGUAAGCUUCCUUGUGGGGGGAAGUGUAUGGCUGUGGCAAGAAUAGAGGGGACUUCUAGUUACCAAGAGCAUCCCUGGUUUGCAGCUACCAAGAAGAUGGGGACCUCUGCCAUACAGCUGUAAAGAACUGAAUUCUCCCCACAAUCAGUGAGCUUGGAAGAGGACCCUAAGCUUCAGAUGAGAUUACAGUGCUGGCUGACACGUUCAUUUCAUCCUAGUCAGAUGCUAAGCAAAGGAGCCCACUAACCUGUAUCUAGAUUCCUGAUCCACAGAAGCUGUGAGACUAAAUAAAUAGGUGUUAUUUUAAGGGGAUAAAUUUGUGGUAUUUUGUUAUGCAGCAACAGAAACUCACACACCCACUUUGGACUGUCAUGUGAGGGAGAAAUAAACUUAUUCUUUGUGUUAAGCCAUUGAACCGUGAUGGUUCAUAGCAGCAUGUUACCAUAACUAAAUACAAUGACAUAACAAGAUUGCUCAUAUAAAGGCAGUAAAAGCUCCCCCCAAGCCAGAAACGUUCAGAGGCUGUCUUCUCUGGAAAUCUUGUCAUGGAGGUAGUCUCCUGGGGCUGUACAUGCUCAUGAAAAUGGAAUUCUGAACAGCUAUGGCAUAUUAGUUGUCACUCCCAAAUUAUAGCACUUUUCCUUUAUGGGAUCUGGCUUGCUCCAAUUAAUUAGAAUCUGCACCAGGAAUUAAAGCAUGAUAACUGUGAGAACCAUCAAGACUGUCUGUCACAUUUAUGCCUCAGGAAAGGCCUUGUAUUUCUGGCGGGGACUGAGGUGGUAUUGUUUCUGUUUUCCAAUAAAACAAGCAAUAGUCUAUCCAAAGAGGGAAAUAGAUUCCAGCCUUUUUCAGCCAUAACAUGUCAUAGAAAUCCCAUUGUAUUGAUUAGAAAUUUAGGCUUGGAGAGGCUAAACAAUGUACCUAAGAUCAUAGAUUUUGAAGAGCAGAGCCAAAAAUCAAACUCAAGUCCAUGUGAUUCACUCAUCUAUACAUGAUUUCAUAUGUCAUUCAUCCAAAAUUCCAUUUUUAGGCACCAGUGAAUUUCCAUGAAUUUACUCAAUAUAUUUUACUUAAAAAUUCCCAUCAUUUAUCUUUUGAUCUAUCAUUUUAAUACUUUUUACAUAUAUGAAUUAUCUUACACAUUUUGUCCUGGGAUUUGCUUCUUUCAUCUCAGAUUAUAGACAGAAAUAACUAAUUUUAUUAUUUUUUCCAUGCUAUGGAUAUAGUAUAUUAUACUUAAUUGUUAUCAUAUUGAUGGAAAUUUGAGGCUUCCCCAACUUUUGCUACUGCAAGCACUACACCAAUGAAUGUUAUCAUACACGUCUGUAUUCACAGGUACAUUUAAUAAGAGGAAUACAAUAAAAACAUAUUGGUGGGUAAUACUAUCGGCUGGGUUCCGGUAAGUGCUUUACAUGUGUUGCUUAUUUGUUACAAUUACACUGUGAAGUAAGUUUCAUUAUAUUCUAUAAUACAAAUGCAAAGGCUGUGGCUUAGAGACCUGCUACCAAAUUCCCCAAGAAGGAUGGUGGAAUGGACUUGCUAGUUUUCAUUUUUUUAAAAAAUGCUCCUGUUAUAUGAUUGGAAUUAGCCUGAGUUUAUGAGUGGAUUGACAUCUUUACAAUAUUGAGUCCUCUCAUCUAAAAAAUGUCAUGUCUUUCCACUACUUUAGAUCUCCUUAUCUGUCUUUUCAUAAUGCUGGCAUGUUUCUUCACAAUGCAUGUACAUAUUUCUUCCUGAUAUUCUUCAGCUUGCUUGCCAUAGUUUUUGCUGGUGUAAAGAAAAAUUAGCGACCUUAUAAACCUAUACAUAGAACUACCAUAUGACCCAGUAAUCCCACUCUUGGGCAUAUAUCCAGACAAAACUUUCCUUGAAAUAGACACAUGCACCCGUUUGUUCACUGCAGCACUAUUCACAAUAGCCAAGACAUGGAAACAACCCAAAUGUCCAUCCAAAGAUGACUGGAUUAGGAAGAUACGGUAUAUAUACACAAAGGAAUACUACUCAGCCAUAAAAAAGAAUGACAUAAUGCCAUUUGCAGCAACAUGGAUGGAACUAGACACUCUCAUACUGAGUGAAGUCAGUCAGAAAGAGAAGAAAAAAUACCAUAUGAUAUGACUUACAUCUGAAAUCUAAUAUAUGGCACAAACGAACCUUUCCAAAGAAAUGAAAAUCAUGGACUUGGAGAAUAGACUUGUGGUUGCCAAGGGGAAGGGGGAGGGAGUGGGAUGGACUGGGAACUUGGAGUUAACAGAUGCAGACUACUGCCUUUAGAAUGGAUAAGCAAUAAGAUCCUGCUGUAUAGCAAUGGGAACUAUAUCUAGUCACUUAUGAUGGAGCAUAAUAAUGUGAGAAAAAAAGAAUGUAUAUGUGUAUGUGUAACUGGGUCACCAUACUGUACAAUAGAAAAUUAAGAGAAUGCUGUAAACCAGCUAUAAUGUUAAAAAUUAAAAAUCAUAAAAAAAUUAACAGAUUUUGUUCAUAAGAGUUUCAACUGAUUAUUUUAAACAGACUUUCAUAUCAACAGCUUGUCAUGGCAAUUUUGUCUCUACAUUCUAAUAUUUACUCUUGCUUAUUUUUCCAUCCUGGAACUUCUAGGGAAAUGUUGAGUAACACAAGCAAGAGUGAACUUGUCUUGUUCCUCACUUUAAAGGGACUGAUGAUUCAGGGCUACAUGGGGUGGUUGCUGCAGUUUUCUAGUGGAUACUCUUCAGCAAGUAAAUAAAUCCUAGCUUAAUACGAAUCUUUUUGAAAAUAGGAAUUCCAAUAGAUUCUGCAUCAGUGGAGUAUUAGCAAUUUUCUUCUUUUUUUAAUCAAAGUAGGGAAUUACAUACAUUUUAAAAUGUUUUGCAGUCCUUGAAUUUUGGUGAUCCAUUCUCCUUGGUUAUGAGAAAUUCAUUUUUUAAUAUACUGAUGGCUUUGUGAAUGCUUUAUGCAGGAUUUAAUUUGUACCUAUGCUCUUUUGGGAGAUAUGAUGACUUUCUUUUUUGGAGUCAUUCUAAUGAUUUGAUAUUGGAUUCCAAGCUGAAUGUACUUUUCCCUCAGAAUCUGAAACCACAGUGCCCUUGACUUUUACUCUCAGUCUGAUGUGACGGAUUCUCAUUAUGAGAAGGUCACCUGCUUUUUAAUUUCUGGAGGUAUUUAGGGAUUUUUCUCUAUUCUUGAAGUUUAGAAAGGUUAUCAUGAUUCUGCUAAUUGUGUAUGUAUAGUUCUUUCAAUUUUAUUUUUCAUAUCAUUUUAAAAUUUUUACUUUUACUGCUUGACACUUAAUAUUUGACUUUCAUUCGUCAGUGCUUACUGGAGACUUUCAAUUUAAAAAAUUAUUGCAACAUAGUUGACUUACAAAGCAAUUUCAGAUCUACAGCAAAGUAAAUCAGUUAUACAUAUACAUAUAUACAUAUAUCUACUCCUUUUCUGACUCUUUUCCCAUACAGAUUAUUAAACAGCAUUGAGUAAAUUUCCCUGUGCUCUACAGUAGGUUCUUGUUACCUAUCUAUUUUAUAUAUAGUAGCAUGUAUAUGUCAAUCCCAACCCCCUAAUUUAUACCCCCGCCCCCAUCGCAUUUCCCCUCUGGUAACCAUACAUUUGGUUUCAAAAUCUUUGAGUCUAUUUCUAAGUUCUAGUGUAUCAUUUUUGUUAGAUUCCACAUAUUAGUGAUCUCAAAUGAUAUUUGUCUUUCUCUGUCUGACUUACCGCAUUUAGUACGAUAACUUCUAGGUCCAUCCAUGUUGUUGCAAAUGGCAUUAUUUCAUGCUUUCUAUUCCAUUGUAGAUCGUACCACAUCUUCAUCCAAUCCUCUGUUAAUGGAUGUUUAGGCUGCUUCCAUAUCUUUAGCCUUUCAAUUUGAACACAUAAAUCCAAUUUCCUUCCAUUUAACUUUUUAUUAAUUUUCUUCAUUUCUUUUUCAUAUUUAAAAAAAUCCUUGAUUAUUUUUUUUUUCUUUAAUUAUCUUCUCACCUCCAUUUUAGCAGUUUUAUACUAGUAGAGAUGAUCCACUGG
rnacentral:lncRNA from 9 species